rnacentral:rRNA from 1 species
GCAAGGUUAAAACUCAAAUGAAUUGACGGGGGCCCGCACAAGCGGUGGAGCAUGUGGUAUAAUUCGAUGCAACGCGAAGAACCUUACGUACUCUUGACAUCCAGAGAACUUAGCAGAGAUGGUUUGGUGCUUUCGGGAACUCUGAGACAGGUGCUGCAUGGCUGUUGUCAGCUCGUGUUGUGAAAUGUUGGGUUAAGUCCCGCAACGAGCGCAACCCUUAUCCUUUGUUGCCAGCGGUCCGGCCGGGAAUUCAAAGGAGACUGCCAGUGAUAAACUGGAGGAAGGUGGGGAGGACGUCAAGUCUUCAUGGCCCUUACGACUAGGGUUCCACACGUGUUCCAAUGGCGCAUCCAAAGAGAAGCGAACUGGGGAGAGCAAGCGGUCCUCGUAAACUGAUUUCUAUUCGGGAUGGGAUUUGGCAAUUGGAUUCCAGGAAUUGGGAAUCGUUGGUAUUGGUGGUUCACAAUGCUGCGGUGAAUACGUUCCCGGGCCUUGUACACACCGCCCGUCACACCAUGGGAGUGG